GUUAGGAAUAUUGGACAAUGGGCGAAAGCCUGAUCCAGCCAUGCCGCGUGAACGAUGAAGGCCUUCGGGUUGUAAAGUUCUUUAGCCGAUGAUUAUAAUGACUGUAGUGGGAAAAUAAGCCCCGGCUAACUUCGUGCCAGCAGCCGCGGUAAUACGAAGGGGGCGAGCGUUAUUCGGAAUCACUGGGCGUAAAGCGUGCGUAGGCGGUUUUGUAAGUUAGGAGUGAAAGCCCAGGGCUCAACCUUGGAAUUGCUCUUAAAACUGCAAGGCUCGAAUCUCGGAGAAGAUAGCGGAAUUUCCAGUGUAGCAGUGAAAUGCGUAGAUAUUGGAAGGAACACCAGUGGCGUAAGCGGCGAUCUGGACGAGUAUUGACGCUGAGGCACGAAAGCGUGGGGAUCAAACAGGAUUAGAAACCCCGGUAGUCC
rnacentral:rRNA from 1 species